UCUAAAGAUUUUUUUUCCGUCGUUCGAGCGAUGGGGUUUGAUGAAAUCGAAGAGUUUAAUCCGUUCGGAGGGUUUCGAUUGCGCCGAGAUUGGAAUGGCAAACGUUUCUCAACUACACUCCAAUUUGAAAGCCGGCUCCACCGUCGAAGUUCUUCUCCUGGGAUUUUGGGAGACUGGCAAUGUAAAGAAAGGCUGCUAGCUUCUGGGUCUCACAACUCUCAUGAAGAAGCCAAGAGCAGAUAACUAAAGUUCUACAGAUUGUGCAAAUUUGUGUUUGCUUAUUCCUCAGCGCAACGUCCAGAACACACUUUUAUUAUGAUCAGGAAACUCAAGCCAGCAAGAACUUUCUUAAAGUGUAAGAAAGUCUAACUUCAUCCUAAUAUUUUAUUAACUUUCUUACAACUGUUGUUUUAUCCCCUCUAAGCUAGGUUGGUCUUGGUCUGGCUCAAUGUCUUUGUUUACCCACCUCAGGUACGUAAUUUACUUAUUGGUACUGCAAUCGUGGAUUCAUUUUUGACUCGUCUAAAAUUUAUCGUUCAAGUUUUCCUCUACGUGUCUAUACCUGCAGACUUUUGAGUUUUUUUGCAGAGCCAAAUUCAGUGAAAUUGAGACAAUCAAUGGAUGGUGCUCCUUCUCCUGUUCUAAGUGCUAUCAAAAGCUACAGCAGAGUUUCACAUCUUUUACAUGAUCAAGAUGUAAUGAUGACAAUGCUAUUGGGGUAAUGUAUUCUCACAGUAAUUGCAGAGAUUGUUUUCUCAUCUAAUGUGUAUUGUCUCAACCUAGGUUUUACUAACAUCUUUUAACCAUGUCAUUGUAAAGGAUUGUCUACAGUAUUGUCAUCAUUACAUCUUUAAGAUAUAGUAUAGGCUUAGAUAAAUAAA